GACUACUGGGCGGCAGCAGUGAGGAAUAUUGGUCAAUGGGCUUACGCCUGAACCAGCCAAGUCGCGUGAGGGAAGACUGCCCUAUGGGUUGUAAACCUCUUUUGUCAGGGAGCAAUUGGCGCUACGUGUAGCGUUAUCGAGAGUACCUGAAGAAAAAGCAUCGGCUAACUCCGUGCCAGCAGCCGCGGUAAUACGGAGGAUGCGAGCGUUAUCCGGAUUUAUUGGGUUUAAAGGGUGCGUAGGCGGAAUGCCAAGUCAGCGGUAAAAUCGCGGGGCUCAACCUCGCUCCGCCGUUGAAACUGGCGUUCUUGAGUGGGCGAGAAGUAUGCGGAAUGCGUGGUGUAGCGGUGAAAUGCAUAGAUAUCACGCAGAACUCCGAUUGCGAAGGCAGCAUACCGGCGCCCAACUGACGCUGAAGCACGAAAGCGUGGGUAUCGAACAGGAUUAGAUACGCCUGUAGUC
rnacentral:rRNA from 1 species